rnacentral:lncRNA from 1 species
UAUAAUAUGGGAGUCGACACACGAUGUAAUCUAUAUCAACAUAAUAGCACAUGCACACGGGGAAAGCUAGCAGCAUGUUCCGACAGCCAAGUGACCACUGUGCGGUAUCAAGGGGGAGGAGCGUCUGUAGUCAUUGUCUUGGGGAUUGGCCAAUGUUUGAUGCACAUCACUCGCAAAUCUCGAUGCCGUGCAUCGUGUGAUUGCUUGGUCCUUGAUAAAUUGACUAUGCGCCUUGAAUUAUUCUAACACUGACUCUCAGAUUUGAUUCCGGUUCAGGUCGUCGGCGGCUUGGGUCCGCAAUGCCAGCAGCAGUUCCCCCACCCUCCGCUUGGUCCCAGCAACAGCAUGUUACUGUAGCUGCCUACUCCCAUGCGAGCUUACAGGCC